rnacentral:rRNA from 1 species
UACGUAGGGGGCUAGCGUUGUCCGGAAUCAUUGGGCGUAAAGCGCGCGUAGGCGGCCCGGUAAGUCCGCUCUGAAAGCCCGGGGCUUAACCCCGGGAGGCGGGUGGAUACUGCUGGGCUCGAGUCCGGAAGAGGCGAGUGGAAUUCCCGGUGUAGCGGUGAAAUGCGCAGAUAUCGGGAGGAACACCAAUGGCGAAGGCAGCUCGCUGGGACGUGACUGACGCUGAGACGCGAAAGCGUGGGGAGCAAACAGG